GUCGAGAAUCUUUCACAAUGGGGGCAACCCUGAUGGAGCGACGCCGCGUGGAGGAUAAGGUCUUCGGAUUGUAAACUCCUGUCAUGCGUGAACAAGGUUGCUUGGUUAAUACCUGGGCAAAUUGAUGGUAAUGCAAGAGGAAGAGACGGCUAACUCUGUGCCAGCAGCCGCGGUAAUACAGAGGUCUCAAGCGUUGUUCGGAAUCACUGGGCGUAAAGGGUGCGUAGGUGGCGUGGUAAGUCAGAUGUGAAAGCCCGGGGCUCAACCUCGGAACUGCAUCCGAUACUGCCAUGCUAGAGUACUGGAGAGGUGACUAGAAUUCUCGGUGUAGCAGUGAAAUGCGUAGAUAUCGAGAGGAAUACCAAAGGCGUAGGCAGGUCACUGGACAGUUACUGACACUGAGGCACGAAGGCCAGGGGAGCGAACGGGAUUAGAAACCCGUGUAGUCC
rnacentral:rRNA from 1 species